AAUGAAAACCUGCAGCCUCUUGGCCCUCCAUGGCACGAGUUUGACACCCCUGGCUUAAGCUUCUCUCUCCCUCUGCCACACAUUGGAGUGAGAAAGUCUUACCAUGAACUCAAGAGUCAGAACUAUCACCAGCCUCGUGAUCCUCUUUGGACACUCAAGGUUCAGAUGGUCCUCGAUGUUCUCCAGGUUGUUCUCCUUCUUCCUUGGCCUUCCAGAUAAACCCUGAAUAUCAAGAGAUCCAUUGCUGCUCCACCCUGAAGAGGAAUUGCUUAGAAAAUGAUGCAAGUGAUGUUGAUGCAGUACCUUUUCUCGACCAGUAGAGGGAGACAGAGCUCCACACAUGACUUUCCUCAGCGGCACACUUCCUCUCACCUCUCCAGCACACACUUGUUGAAGUA